CUGUCAUACGGCGAUGGAUUUCCGCCGGGUUUUCGGGCCGAACCGCCUUUACCAAAGGCUGAUGAUUCCUACCUGACG
rnacentral:ncRNA from 2 species